AUGGUGUCAUUCAUAACCCAUUAAUCUCAUAUUUGUUCUGUUUUUAUUUCCGAAGUGUGAAAAAUAUAUUACAAACAUCGUUAACAAUUUAUGAUUAGCAAGAUAUGGCAUUUGAGCAUUUCGAAAUUUAGCCCAGAUUUCAAAUAAAUUCAGUUAUCACCCUUUAGUUUGCAAGAAUGCAGAGCAUGGCGUGUUUAAAAUCAAUGAUUAAGUACACAUCGAGAAACUUUAGUUCAAAAGAAAACUUUAUCGAAAAUUGUUAACAUUUGAAGUAAAAUGUUUUCUUAUAUAAAAAAACGAGCUCAAUGAUCGGAGAUAUUCUUUGCAAAUGGAAAAGGAAAGCCAAAGAUAGCAACACACUACAACUACUGUGGAACGCGUUUCAUCUUUGGGUAGAAGACUUUUCAACCAUAUUAGGUGUGAAGGCUUCAAGGGCCGUGCGUUGGUAUGAUGUAUUUGAAUCGUAUCAAUAGCGAAAAUGCCUCUAUGAUACAAUUAUCACAUUAACCAGUGCCGGAGAUAUCACCCGGACUCUCCCUCUUUCAUUCUACGGAGUUCUGACUUUCAUUCCCUAAAUUCCAUAAAUAAAUGGCGACCACACAGAUAA